GACGACGAUAUUCGACGUCAUAAACACGAUCAACUUUGGUGUUUAUGACGACGAUAUUCGACGUCAUAAACACGAUCAACUUUGGUGUUUAUGACGACGAUAUUCGACGUCAUGAACACCAUCAAGUUUGGUGUUUAUGACGUUGAUAUUCGACGUC
rnacentral:miRNA from 1 species